CAGAAUAUUCAGCAAACUUAUCGAAAGGUAAGGACGCAAAGCUAUAGGGUCUAAGUAUUUUUAUAUGACUGCCAGUUGCAAAU
rnacentral:ncRNA from 1 species